AGAGCUAUCCUACUCACCCCGGCGUCGGCGUUAGCGUGAGUGUUGGAAUGUUAAAGUUUGCGUACCACCUCAAAUAUUGUCUAUGUCCCUUGACAUAUUGCUUUUAUAUUUAGCAUACUUCUUUACCAACAUGACCCCAAUCUAUAAACAAAAGCAGACAACUGUUACAAGCAUUUUGUAAGAAUUAUGGCCCCUUUUUCCACUUAAAAUAUGCAUAUUAUUGAUAAAUCUUUGUUAAAGUUUACGUACCACCGCAAAUACUUUCUAUGUCCCUUGACAUAUUGCUUUUAUAUUUUGCAUACUUCUUUACCAACAUAACCCCAAUCGAUAAACAAGAGGAGACAACUGUAACAAGCAUUUUGUAAGAAUUAUGGCCCCUUUUCCACUUAGAAUAUGCAUAUUAUUGAUAAAUCUUUAUUAAAGUUUGCGUACCACCUCAAAUAUUUUCUUUGCCCAUUGACAUAAGGUUUCAUAUUUUGCAUACUUCUUAACCAACAUGACCCCAAUCUAUAAACAAGAGCAGACAACUGUAAAAAGCAUUUUGUAAGAAGUAUGGCCUCUUUUUCACUUAGAAUAUGCAUAUUAUUGGUUAUUCUAUGUUAAAGUUUGCGUACCACCUUAAAUAUUUUCUUUGUCCCUUGACAUAUUGCUUUCAUAUUUUGCAUACUUCUUUACCAACAUGACCCCAAUCUAUAAACAAGAGCAGACUACUGUAAACAACAUUUUCUAAGAAUUAUGGCCCCUUUUUCCACUUAGAAUAUGCAUAUUAUUAAUAAUUCUUUGUUAAAGUUUGCGUACCACCUCAAAUAUUUUAAUUGUUUCUUGACAUGCUGCUUUCAUAUUGUGCAUUCUUCUUGACCAACAUGACCCCAAUCUAUAAACAAGAGCAGACAACUGUAACAAGCAUUUUGUAUGAAUUAUGGCCCUUUUUCCACUUAGAAACUUUGACUAUUUUGUUAAAUUUUGUGUUUACAUCGACUUUACUUCUAAAGUAUCAAGGCUAUUGCUUUCAAACUUCAAAUACUUUCUUACUAUCAUGAGGGUACUGCACCUGGCAAGUUGAAUUUUACCUUGACCUUUGACCUUGAAUCUGAAGGUCAAAUUAAUAAAUUUUGAUUAAAUUGCCAUAACUUCUUUUUUUAGGAUUAGAUUUGAUUCAUACUUUGACAAAACAACACUUACCCCCCCCCCCCCAAAAAAAAAAAAAUGUUUUUGUUGUCCUUAUUUUUUUAACAUGUUAAAAAAAGCAUUUUUUUUCUUAAGACCGUCCAACCACCCCACCCAGCCUAUUGCAAUCAAACUUGAAAUACAAUCUUAUUAGUUUGUUUUAUGUCUUUACAAAUGUUCAAUACAUAUGUUUUGUGGAAACCUGAACUCAGAAUCGUCUAUAAUGUACCACUUCUUUAAAACAUAAGCGAUCAAUAUGUUUGGUUUAAGCUUAUUUAUUAGGACAUAGUAACAUAUUCACAAGUUACAUGACAUUGACAUAGGAUCAAUAUGUUUCAAUUAUGGUCCUCUUCCAGUUAGAAUAUGACUAUAGUACCUUGACCUUAUUGAAUAUGAACAAUUUCCCCAUGGUGGCUUACUUUAUACUGUCAAGCACUUGAAUAGUCGAGCGCGCUGUCUUCUGACAGCUCUUGUUGUUUUUCUCAUCGACAUUUCAGGGUCCAAGUCCCCUUGAUCUCGCAAGAAUGUACUGCCAGAAUUACGUUGAUCCACCAGGUUUUGAAGUAAAAACCGUCAAUGAUGUCAUAGCUUUUUAAAAAAGGAGACUUUCUUCUCGAAUACAAAGGGGAUCUGAUAACACGAGUAAAACAUGCACGGCAAUUAGAAAAGGAGUAUGAAAAGGAGAGUCAAGGCAGCUUCAUUUACUUUUUUAAAUACAGAGACAAAUCUUGCUGCAUUGACGCUACCAACGAUAUAUUUCAUGAGGGUCGAAUGAUAAAUGAUGCCGAAAAUGGAGACGCAAAACAAAAUUGUGUAAUGAAAAUAGUUGAAGUCAACCAAGCUCCCCAUCUAUGCACUUUCGCCGACAGAGACAUUGCAAUUGGCGAGGAACUCCGAUAUGAUUAUGGAGUACCAACACUUCCAUGGAGAAAGAAUUGCACGGAGCAAAAAAUGGAAAUGUACGGAACAAAAAAGGGCAACACAAUGACUACUAGAUCUACGGACAGCCAAGAACCAGGACAAACAACAUCCGUACACACGGAAGAAGUCGAUGAGACGAAAAGGGUACUUCAAAUACCAGGAGAACAAAACAGGCAGCCAAAAAGCAAUGGAGUGAAAACGAAAAAGGAGCUGUUCACAGACACUUUGAUCGUUUUUUGAUAAUGGGUAAAUUACCAGGGAAAAAAAGAAAUACUUGCAUGUAUUGAAAGUGAGAAUGACCUUCACAACAGAAGUUGGAAAAAUGUCAAAGACUUUUGCAGAAAUUUAAUUAAAACAAAAAAGCGACGGGGACUUUUAACUUAAAAAAAAUAUUACACAUAUAAUGCACGUUUAGGAGAAUACGUUAAAGGAUGACGUUGCCACAUUUUUUGUGUUUUCUUGUUCUAUAUACUCUUUUCGAAAACGAUAUAUGUGUGCUUCUUGUAUUUGAAUGUGUUAUUAAUACGGUUCAGUCAAAAACGAUAUUUGUUAAUAAUCAUAUCGCCGAACAAAUUAGGAAUGGUAUAUAGUUCGGCCAAAGAGUGUUUCUUUGUACUUUCUAUUACGAGUUUCUACGAGUUACUCACUAUACAAGUUUUUUUUACCCUAAACUUGGUGAAUAUGAAUGAAUAUAGCAAACAUGAUAACAAAUCAAUCUAGAAGGCUAAACGUUCAGAGAAGGCACAAAAAAAUUCAGUCGGAUAAAUGGAAACAAACAUUUUGUUCAAGCAUAACAAACAAACACUUUUAGAUGUAAUAAGAUAAAUGUAAAUAACAUAAAAAAACUACUGCUAAACUACUGCUACAAUAUGAAGAAUACAAAUGAAUAUUUUGUCAAUUUUUUCAAAAUUUGUUUUGAAUGACAGGUGUCUGACUGGCAGUUGAGUACUUAAGAGUUAUUUUAAAGUAAACAUUUACCAAAAUGUAAAUUAUUGCGUAAAUAUCGCACUAGAAUUGAUUAAAUAGUUGUUAAAUAUUACAAUAAUUUCCUACACAGAUUUUUGUGCAUUUGUUUUGCGUGUAGAUAUUCACAUUAGCUAUCAAUUCACAUAUUUGCUUUGUGUAUAUAAUUGGUAUGUUUAUAUGUUUUUCAUAUCAAAAUUGCUUGAUCUACAAAAAUUCGCGAGGAGUUAUGCAUUGUUUCCCAUGUUUUUGAUUGAAGUUUAUAAUUCAACGACGAUGAAAAUUACUAAGAUGCCAGAUUUAGUUAUGUUUUUGUCUCAUUUAUGGUUAAAAAUCAAUUAACAUACCCAUUUCCCAGACUAAGAUAUUGUUAAAACAAUUAAUCGCGUUUGCGACUGACCUCUUUUAUGCAUUCUAACACAAGCUAUUUACUUGUUUUUCGAAUACUCUUCAUAUACACACACUUGAACAAGCUGUAGAUUACCUAGAACAAAACAUAUUUGAAACAUAUAUUUAUAUGUGAUAUGUAAAUGCAUGCACAAAGCUAAUAAGUAAUCAUGUUUAUACACUUUGCGAUAUUAUGCUAUAAUGUCGGUUGUUUUAAGUGAUUAAUCAUUAUGUUAACCAUGUUAUCUGCCAUCUGGAAUGUAAUUAAGUGUUUUGACAUGUAUGCGAAAUUGAUCUUGUUCGGUUUGGUGCUGAAUAUUCAGAAUUGAGUCACACUGUUAUAAUUUUCCUCUUGGUACAUAUUAUUUUUAAGUUGGCACCAACAAGACACUAACAAUUGAUCCACAUGUGCACUCCCAGUAAGUAUAUAUACUAUAAUGUAAGUGAUUUAAAAUAAUAUUAAACUACGUGUUUGAUAAGUGUUUGCUUUGGUUCAUAUUUAAUUAUUAGUGUUUUUAUAUAAUGAUAAUGCUGUCAAAGUCAGCGGUGAUUAUACGUGUAUAACAACAUUAAUUAUAACUUUUAUAUUGUUUUCAACAAAUAAUAUAUGGAUGACACAUCGGCAUAACUUUUCAGUGCUUAAAAUACACUCUUUCUAUUAUAUUUUAUGCAAAAAUUAGGUACAUAAGUUGGUUUACAUAAAGGUAGUUUGAAAAAAAUACGUGAAUUCAAAUCUUAAAAAAGGUGUUUGGUUUGCAAGGGAAAACAAAGCGAUUGCCAGUGACUAUUUUCCUUAAAAUAUAAUCUGUUAUUUCGACAGGUAGAAUUAAAUGUAAGUUCAUUAUUAACGUUAACCCGUUUUUGGCAUUCUCUACUCAAACAAGUGCAUACAUACUGUAUUUUUUUAAUACAGCACAUGUGUAAUGGUAUCACAGUUGUAGAAUAGGAAUAUAUAUAUUAUAACAAUAAAUACUGAUCAUUAUUCAGAUUGACCUACCGCCGUAGACUAAGUCACUGGCGCAUCAAAAUGCAUUGUUAUCAAGUCGUUUUGCUAGUUUACUAAACUAUUUAGUUUCUCAGGCCUCGCCACAUUCGUUGUGAAACGUUCAUGAUUGUUUAAAGUUACAGAUUUUAUUAUUUUUGAAAAUGCAAUAAAUGUAUUUAAGACAAUUUAAGUGAAGUGGAAGUUGCCAUGCGUGUGAAUGAAUUUUCUGAUGUUUACCUGUUUCAGGGGAUUAAAUGCAUGAGUUAUUUUAUAAUGUCAGAGUAAGGACAAAGUAAAUUUACACUACUCAAUCUACAUGCAUAUGGGCAGUUCUACUUUUUAGGAUAAAAAUCUUCAUAGUACGUGAAAAUCGUGAAUGCUUUUUUUCUGAUGGAAAAAGGAAUUAAACAAAAAAGCCGCCCCCCCCCUCUUCUUCAUUCGGUUUGACAAAUAGCGUGGCCUGAAAAAAAAUAACAUUAUUUUUUAGUUUUAAGAACGAAUUGUAUUCAUUUGUUGAUUAAUUGCACCAUGAUUGUUAUGGUAUAAUGCAGCACUUGCAUGCUUGUAGUCGGCUUAUAGCUGAUGAAGUCAUAAAUGUAUUGUUUGAUUUGCGUUAUGUCUCUUAUGCUUAUUUUGAUGUGAAUAAUAUUUGAGUCAAUCAAAUAAGGCAUUUUUGCAUAACUUAUAUAAGGUCAUAUGAUAAACAUAUUUAAUUUAAAUAUUGUUUCAUACAUAUUCUUUUCAAUUUUUGUACUAACUUAAAUAUUAUCCAUGAACGUGCACGCCAUUGUCCUAUUAACAACGGUACCAUGAUUACACACAAUUACCCCUGUUGGUAAACGCAAAUUUCCCGUUGGACAUUAUUGAAGUUCCACGGUUAUAGCGCGCUUAAGUUGCUCUCUUGGUUAACACAAUUCCCCUGUUGGCACACAUUAAAGUUCCACGGUUGGUACGCACAUAGUACCCCUGUUGGUAUACACCGUUCCCCAGUUGGAACACAUUGAAGUACCACAGUUGGAACGCACUAAGUUCUCCUGUUGGUAUACACCAUUCCCCUGUUGGUACACAUCGCAGUUCCUCAUUUGGUACGCACAUAAUUCCCCGGUGUGCAUGUAAAAUUUUCUUUGAUUUAUUACCCUAUUUAUCAUAAUUUUUAUAUCAAAAUCUUAUUUCAGGUUCGAAACUUGUCUGUUCUUUAUCACUUUCAGCUUUCUAGAAUAUGUGGAAAUGGUGGUCCCCGGUUGGUAGGUUUAGAACACAUUUCCCCGGUUGGAAGGUUUUACAAGUAUGUGUGUGUGUGUGUGUGUGUGUGUGUGUGUGUGUGUGUGUGUGUGUGUGUGUGUGUGUGUGUGUGUGUGUGUGUG